ensembl:lncRNA
UGGAAGAAAUGUUGAAGUUAAUCAAUAUUUUGACUUGGUCACAUUAAUUAACAUAAAGUUACCUUUAUGUUCUUUUUGGGAUCUUAAAAGUUUUGGGUUCCAUUUUUUUUAUAUUAUGAACGAAAACAGUUCUUCAAAAUGUUGUGUUCCAGCAAAAGAAAGAAAGACAUACAAAUUUGGAACAACAUUAGAAUUGGUAUUUAGAUAUAAUUUAGCAUGUUUAUUCACACUUUUUCAAAAUAGACCCCAUAUUACUGGGGAUUUCAGGUUGUACCAUAUUUGCGAGGGACAUCAGGUCACCACAAUGCGUGAAAAACAUAACCCACACAGCCAAACACAAAAAAUACACUCACUACAUUCCUCAUUUUGUGUCCAGUUUGGGGUAAUGUCAUCAAAUAUUAAUAACGCCAGUCAGUGUGUUAAAAAUCAUCGUGGGCGCUGACAUACAGUGCACUGUGACAGGCAGCGGGACAGUGUCUCUGCAGAGGAGACAGCUUCCUUCUCACUCACUGAUGGAGUUUCAGCAGUGCCUGCUCUCAGAUCACUUAAUGCAUCAGUCUAAUAACCUUUUAAUGUCUGUAUUAUGACGGUCAUUUAAUAUUUGCUCUCGGAAAGAUGCUCAUGUAGAUCAGCAAUGACUGUAAUGAUGAUAAUGAUAAUCAUGCGCUCAUAAGCCACUAUCUUAAAGCAUUGAAUUACUGUGCUCACCGGUGGUUAAAAUGAAGAGCUUUUAGCCAUUAUGGCUACAGAAAAAAAUAACUUCUUGCAAUUCUGCUAAUGCAAUUUCUUCAUUCCAUGCAUGUGCAAUUUAAUUUCCCCACAUUUUGUUGACACUGCUUUUUCUUAUUUCCCCCCCUUGUCUUUUUCCAUCUUCGCAAGUGGGUUUAAAAUGUGGGCCAUUUGCAUGAGUUAUGCUAAUUUGUUAGGGCAACGAAUGCAUUAAUUUCAUUAGCAAAUAGCCUCAAAGCAAUAAUUACCAGAGUAGGUGUGUCACAAGCAAUCAUGUUAAAUUUUGCCAGUUAAUUAUUAAGAUUUUGUUUGGAGAGACCUAGAUUUGACAUGAGCAGCCAAAGGAGAGACAGAAAGAGAGAGAGAGAGGGAGAGAAAAUAAGGGAAGAAAUUUAAUGUUCUCCAGUAGCUAAGGUAAGGUGCGUGUUGUUGUGUUGAUGGGAGGAGGGAGUUGGCAGGAGGAAGGGUGGUAGGUUUGGGUUGGUUUGCAUGUUGACAGCUUACAUUCUGGACUAAUUACCAUAAAUAGCACAGGGUUAGCUGGUCCUCAGUGAAUCCAGAGGAGUAUAAUUAUAAGAGAAAGGAGGACAGGGGCUAUUGAAGUGGUCUCUGCUCCCAUUGAUUGGAGUCCACUUGAGGAGGAGGGAUAAUGCUUCUCUUUAGCUGUUUUGCCUUGCGCUUUGGCCAGUGGAGACUGGGGAACACAUUUUGAUUCUCGAGUUUCUAUAGACCAACAAUAAAGGCUGGAGGUUUACAGCAAGGACUGUAAGUAACAAAAAAUAAAUAAAUAAAAAUACAUUUAAAAUGUAAGAACUAGUCAAUCUACGGCAAGUCAUAUUUUUAGAUACAAAGUCACAAUUGUUGCGAUUUAUUAUUUAUUUAUUUAUUUUCAGCAAAGGGCAUCCAUAGAUUUAUGCUUUAAAAAAUAAACAAACAAAAAUACAAUUGCCUCAAGAUAUAUUUUCUGAAUACGAUUCUUAAUAUCUGAAGCAUUUUUUUGUGGUUUUUAAUAAAUAAAGAACUCACUGGAAAACAAGACAUAUAUACUUAAUAAUAAACAAUUUUCUAGCGUUCUUGUCAUAUUUUAUACAUCAAAAGUGUGACAUAUCAAGUGUCAGCCAUUUAAUUAUCGCUGAGUAACUUUAUCAUAGUAAAUAAUAUUGUCUGUCAGCUCAAUACUUGCGCUUUCGAUGUUCCUCAGGACUGUGUCUUCAUCUUGACAGCUGUCUUUGAAUAAGAGGUUGGCACCUAGACUCAUCCUCUUCCACUCAAGGCAUAAAUCUUCAGGACUUCCUCUAAAACUCUCUUUAAGUAUCAGCUACAGAGAUGUGCUCCCUGGCGGACCGUGGCCUCUCAGUGGCAGACCUGGUCCAUUCUAGCCAUCACUGUUCUCCUGCUGGCUCUUGUGCCAUAUGUGGUGUACCGGAUGAUGACUGCUUUUGACAAUCCCCCUCCACACUCGCUCUUCAAGUCAGCUGCAAUCUGCUUCGGCCUGCUUAGUGAAGCCCUGUUGAUCAAGUGCUUGUGCAGUUACUUCAGCCACCGGCUCCAGCGAGCAGAGCAAAGCUCCUUUAGCCUUCAGCCUCGCAGAUCUGAAGAGCAUGAAGUCCAUACCAGUCUGAGGCAGUGCGUCACCGCAGGGGUCAAAGGUUAGAACUCACAGGCAGUGGUGGGAGAUAGGAACCUUCAUUGGUUGUAAGCUCUGAGAGGAGAGGAUCAGGGCUUCUAAUGUUAAAUAUGACCAGAGGGUAUAAGAAGAAAAAAAAAAGACUUAUUUAAAUGUCUGGAGAGAUCCUGCUGCCGACACUGGCAGAGUUUCAGCAGACGAAACCCAACGUAAGCAGCAGGAAAGCUGAAAUGGAUGAUGCCGCUGCUCUGUUUUCCUGGGUUGAAAAUAAAUGGAUGCUUUAUUGUUCUUAGAUGGAUUUGGAUUGUACGAACAAAACGGUGUUUAAUCAGUACAGUUGAGUUGGUACAAAGUUUUAUCAAUUUACUUUAAAAAUAUCCCAAAGCACUUUUGCUAUGCAGUAUAAUAGUUUUACUGUAUAUAAUUCAUUGCACGUGUCACUUUUUAAUGGUCUGACUUUUUCAAGGGAUUUUAGGAACUUCUGAGCCCAUUUGUUAAGGACUUUCAGAAACUGUGCUGAUACAAUUCAAAUAUAAAAAGUAGUUUUCACUCAGCAAACAUGCUUACAGUUUUUAAGUAAUACAUUUCUUGUUUUUCUUUUGGAUUGCUUUUUGUAUUUCUUCAACCAGCAUAUAGUUUUUUUUUUUCUUUUUCUUUUUUUAACCUUUCCAGAAACAAACUUAAUGAUCCAGUCAGGUUCCUUAUAAAAAUGUCAUUGCCAGUGCAAGCUGUGCUUAUGUCCUCAUAAUAAAUUGUAUUUUCUGUGUCAUUUAAAUAAAUGUAUAAAGAUGUAUUUAAAAAAAAAAUUAAAAAUCCAUCUCUUGUCUGUUCUUCACCUUUGUGCUCAGAACAUGUAUUACAUUCUUGAACUAUGCUUGCAGCACUGAAUAAUGUAGCAAUAUUCUAGUGACAUGACUAAUGAGGAUUGAGACCAUGGUAACAGGUGUUAAGCUUGUUCAUAAAAGGAAAGGUGGAGCGCUGUACUUCAGUUACUGUAUUCCUGCAUGUUAAUAAAGGCGCUGAGAGCUGAGUGGGAGCAGUCAGUAAUCUCUUUUCUUUAUCUGCAAAGUGUGUACAUGUAAUUUAAAUGAAUGCU